ACAAGAUAUAUAAUAGUAAAAGAAUACACAUAGGAGCAUACCACCAUUCAAUGAGGUAGCCCUCAGAUAGAUGCUAGGCAGGUGCUCACUGCUCAGACAGACUGAACAACUUUGUGAAGAUAGAACCCCUCCUAUCUUCACGAAUACUCUUAUCUUAUCACAACUACAUCCAUACAUCCGUUCCUUCCCAUCUCAAAACCAGCCAUACACCCACCCCACCCACAGUGAACAGAAGACGUAAUGACACUGCAAUAAGAGGAAGAGAGGAGAGACGAGGAGAAGGGAGGCUGGUUGGGUAAUGCUGGGAGGCUUCAAUAAAAUGUAAUCCUAUUAUGUUUCCCACUAGAGGGCAACAAUAAUAAAGGUUUCCCUAAUAACACGGCAGUGCAGGCCAGACCCAAAUGGAAAACAGGUCCUCCGGUGAAGUCCCAUAGUCCUACAUAUAUCGUCUCAUUAGCUAAAUGGCUGAUGGGCCACGUUUCACCUCUGAGGCCUCCAAGAUUUGGCCGUAGUAAAGGCAAUGGAAGAGUUAAGCCAAACAAAUGUGUUUCAUCAAACUAGAGUUUGGGCUGUUCUGCAUAGAGGGAAUGGGGGAUAAAGGAGGAAGGGAUGAGGGGGAGAAGGAGUGAGGGAAUGUGGGGGUGGGAACUGAGAGAAACCAAGCCCUGAGGAAACCAAUCAGAGCUUCUCCACCCUCUUCCUGUCGCUAAGCCACCGGGGUCUCAGGUGUGCACUACACAGGCUAAUAGCGCUUAAACUUGAUUGUUUGUGUGUUAGUGUAGUCUGGGUUUUGUAAAUUACCAUUUUGGAAAAUGAAAGUCCAAUCACUGACAAAUCAACAAAAUUGCAAUUCAAGAGAGGUACAACAACACAACAACAAGGAUAACUGUAGCAAAACUGUAAGGAUAACGUAUCUCGUUAUGAUCAUUCUGUAAGUUGCUGUAUGAGCUACAAGAUUAACAUCAGAUGUACUCUCUGUACUAGACAUGUGAGGUGUACUCUGUAUCCUAGACAUGUGAGGUGUACUUUUUAUGCUAGACCAUGUGAAGUGUACUCUCCAUGGGCAGAUUGGCCAUCUGGCAAUUCUGGCAAAUGCCAGAUGGGCAGGACCAUGUUUUUGUUUGGGGAGUCUGUGUAUUUUAAUUGUUUUAUCAACAUUUAUUCGAUUCUGAAUCUCAGUCUCUUCAGCCUGCGAGUGGGUCUUAGUUUAUGAGCUGUAGUAACGAAUGACUCUGGUGUCGGAUUACAUUACAUAGCCACUGCCACUGGAGGCUGGAUAGUCCCACCAAUUUCCCACUUAUUUCAUUUGCUGAAAGGCCUGUCACUUCUCUGCAGCAAGAUAUGCAUACUGUCAAACGUAGCACAACGCUGGAAAUCUAUCCACAUCAACUAGUGCCAGCAUCGUUCUAUGACAAACACAGAAGGCUUUAUAUUGAAUUCAAUAGAACAGAGAAAGAGGGAGAGAGAGAGACUGCCAGUUCCUUAAUGUAGCCAUUGGCUGUAUUAUACAACCAAAACAUUAAGGAACUGGCCGUCUCUCUCUUCUCUCUCUGUUUUUAUUAUAUUUUCAUUAUAUGUAGCCUAAUAUUUAAACACUUAGCUAAGUGGGCAGGGGGGAACACAUGACAUGCACUAAUUUGAAAUACACUCACCGGCCAGUCUAGUACCGGGUCGGAUCCCCCUUUGUCUCCAGAACAUCCUGAAUUAUUCGGGGUAUUCUACAAGGUCUCGGAAAAGUUCCACAGGGAUGUUGGUCCAUGCUGAUGUGAUGGCAUCACACAGUUGCUGCAGAUUGGAUGGUGGUACUGUCUGGAUGUUGCUGGGCCCAGCAAAGGCAGUGUGGUCCCCUGGUCUUCUGGUAUCAGUGCUGUGGGAAAGGAUGCUAGGCUUAGCAGAGACAGCUCAGAGGAGUGACAGACAGACAGACAACAGAGGAGAACAAGGAAAAGCACAGACAGAGUGACACCAGAGAAGAUGCAGAGACAGACUGCACAACAGGGAGGCAACAGCGGCACAGUUACAGUGACAGAGAAUCAGACAGAGAGAGGGAGGUAGAGAAAGAGAGAUAGAGAGAGAGAGGGAGUGUGUCGCAUUCCUUCCUGUACCACCCUCCAACCCCAGAGCUGCAGACUCAAGGCGGUUUCCAGAAUCAAACAAUUUCACGCAGCUACUGGAGGAGGAAAUGAACUGAGC